GCCUUGCGGCCCUCGGAAAGAUGCUGAUUUUGAUUCUGAGCAAGAUAAGAAGUCAUUAGAUAAUUUUUGACAAUAUGAUGUCAACUACCUAGUAGGACAAUGGAAAAACAAUAAAACAAGUGAAAAAUGAAAAACAAAAACCACAAGGCCUGUAUCAUAAUGUCAGUGCUAUACUAAUGAAGAGAAAUUGGAAUGAAGGAGAAAUGAAUGCUGGAUUCUAAGAGAGAGAAAAAAUUUCAGGUCAUCUUUACAGCUGCAUAUCGCUUUACCUAUCACCUGCCAGUGCAGACCAACUGAGACAGAGACGGGGGAGAAGGAUUAGGUAAAUAAACACUGA